GAAAUCCACAUCAAGAAGCGAUCUGUCUCUGUGUGGAAACCACUCCUGGGUAGUCACAUGCAGAUUAACCCAACUCAGUUUAGGGUCCACUGCUAUAAUUACCCAAGCUACAAAUCCAUGGUGUCAGGCUUGGAUUUUUGCCACGGAUUCCAAGGCAAAUCCGUAUUGUAAAUGACAUGGCUAUAGCCUUACUGCUUUCCUAACUCUGCGCAGACAGAAAACCAUCGGCAAAUGAGCACUUCUGAGCACGAGCACUGUGGAAGAAGUGGUUAAAGUGCAACAGAAGAACAAUCCAUAUUAUACAAGGUUUGCUUCUGCAGCGAUGCCGAAAACUAAGAACAAAAUAAUUGAGCCCCUAGAUGAAAUUGCAAACAAGGGAGAAUAAUAGUUGACCCUUCAAACCAGAGGAAUCCACUGCGAAUGAUGAUGGAAAUGUUGAAAAUACAACCCGCUACCAGCAACAGUUAUGUGGAUUUCUGUUUCAGAUUUCGAGAAAAGGGACCUGACAGCUUCUUACGAGGAGAAGACAUUGUGUAGUUCUGCAGGAAAACACUGAAUUAAUGACUAUGGUGGGAGCCUCAUUAUGGACAAUGAGCAGAUUGAUGGUUUAUGUUGUCGAAGCAGUAAUGUUUUCCCACAAAAACACUUUUAACUGUUUUAUGACCAGGUUCACAGGUAGAAUUUAAAGUGGUUUUCCAGCCCCUUUCUCCUACCCAAUCUGACAUCAGAUAGAAAGAGGCACUGCUAACUGCCCGAUCAGACAUUGCCAAGAAGCCAGUUCAACGUGAAGCAGGUAUUGCAUGAUACUUACUGAACAUUGUCAGCUGUCCCAACACAUCCCCACUGUAACAAUGAAGAAUUGGACUUAACCCAUAGCAGUCACCUUUCCAUGUACUGACAGUGUUGCGUGAUACUAGAUACCCCUAGACGUCUAGUAGAGCUGAAUUGAACAUAACAUAUAUGAAGCUAGUAUCAACACUGGAAGACAACAAAGUACUGAAAUAAACUCAUCGAUAGAUGGCAAGAACUGAACAACGAUAUCCACAGAUGAAGGAGAUUGUAGCCCGGCAGUGGUAUACAGCUUGAUUGUGGACGAAUGACCGUGAACAGAAAUGAAGCCAUUCUGAACUGACCAUGCUCUGAAUACCACCAAGGAGCAUAGCCAAGACAAGUCAACAGCUCAGCAACAGUCAAAGCUCAUAGGACUACAGAUCCCGGAAUAAACAGAUAACGCAUUAGACUACAACAAGAUGCAAAAAAUCUGGAAAGAAAUACAUAUAGCGUACACUAUUCCCAGCAAUAAAAAUGACAUAAGGACUGGACAAAUAAA